CACAAAUGUCCGCUCUGUCGCCUGCUACGAAUCAGAUCUUUCCACAGAUCUCCGAUUUUUGAAAUAAAUCGAGAAAUAUAAGGAAGAAAUGAGGUACACGGAAUCGUUUCGAUAACUCGACGGCUGCUAUCGUGGAAGCGUAAAUCGUCUGCAAAAAUUGAAAGAUCUACGAGAACCGCGUAUCGAAGGUUGCAAAACUCCGAUCGUAUACGUAGGUUGGGAGGCGAUGACGAAAAGGUGGCCAAGGAGUAAGAUUCGACGAAACUUUUAUUCGUGUUUGACAAGGCCGGAGAUAUCCGUUGGUAUAAUCCUGCGGGAUGACAAUAUUUUUAAUUCCAGGCAAGAUGUAACAGGAUCAGCGAGAGCGAAGUUUUAGGCUUGAGAAGACGAACCAUUUUGUUUCCUCCUCGAAUUCGCGGGUAAUACGUAAUCCUCUUAGAGACGUCAGGUAUCAAGGAGCACCUACAGCGGUAGAACACGUCGACGAUCCUUCUUACCGGAAACAAAU